rnacentral:misc_RNA from 1 species
GUGAAUCAUCGAAUCUUUGAACGCAUAUUGCACUCUCUGGUAUUCCGGAGAGUAUGCCUGUUUGAGGGUCAGUUAAUUAAAACUCGGGGUUGUUACUACCUUUUAGUGGUGGUGCUCCGGACUUGGGUCGUCUUAACUUAGGGUUAAGUGACUUAAAAUUUUUGUAUGCUAUCUAACGUAUUUAAUUUUAUUUGGUUUGUUAGUAAUAUUAAUUUAUUUUUAGGUGUGGUAUUUUUCAUGAAUCACGUCCUAUAAUU